AUUCCCCUAGUAACUGCGAGUGAAGCGGGAAAAGCUCAAAUUUAAAAUCUGGCGGUCUUUGGCUGUCCGAGUUGUAGUCUGGAGAAGCGUUUUCCGCGCUGGACCGUGUACAAGUCCCUUGGAAUAGGGCGUCAUAGAGGGUGAGAAUCCCGUCUUUGACACGGACUACCAGUGCUUUGUGAUGCGCUCUCAAAGAGUCGAGUUGUUUGGGAAUGCAGCUCAAAAUGGGUGGUAAAUUCCAUCUAAAGCUAAAUAUUGGCGAGAGACCGAUAGCGAACAAGUACCGUGAGGGAAAGAUGAAAAGCACUUUGGAAAGAGAGUUAAACAGUACGUGAAAUUGCUAAAAGGGAAACGCUUGAAGUCAGUCGCGUUAUGCAGAACUCAGCCUGGCUUUUGCUUGGUGUAUUUUCUGUAUGACGGGCCAGCAUCAAUUUUGGCCGCUGGAAAAAGGCCUCAGAAAUGUGGCACCUUCGGGUGUGUUAUAGUCUGAGGUCAUAUACAGCGGCUGGGAUUGAGGUCUGCAGCACGCCUUUAUGGCUGGGGUUCGCCCACAUUCGUGCUUAGGAUGCUGGCGUAAUGGCUUUAAACGACCCGUCUUGAAACACGGACCAAGGAGUCUAACAUGCCUGCGAGUGUUUGGGUGGAAAACCCGAGCGCGCAAUGAAAGUGAAAGUUGAGAUCCCUGUCGUGGGGAGCAUCGACGCCCGGACCAGACCUUUUGUGACGGAUCUGCGGUAGAGCAUGUAUGUUGGGACCCGAAAGAUGGUGAACUAUGCCUGAAUAGGGUGAAGCCAGAGGAAACUCUGGUGGAGGCUCGUANCGAUUCUGACGUGCAAAUCGAUCGUCAAAUUUGGGUAUAGGGGCGAAAGACUAAUCGAACCAUCUAGUAGCUGGUUCCUGCCGAAGUUCCC
rnacentral:rRNA from 1 species